GGAAAAUGCUCGUAAGAGAACCGGAACACAGGUGCUGCAUGGCUGUCGUCAGCUCGUGUCGUGAGAUGUUGGGUUAAGUCCCGCAACGAGCGCAACCCUUGUCAUUAGUUGCUACGAAAGGGCACUCUAAUGAGACUGCCGGUGACAAACCGGAGGAAGGUGGGGAUGACGUCAAGUCCUCAUGGCCCUUAUGGGUAGGGCUUCACACGUCAUACAAUGGUCGGGACAGAGGGUCGCCAACCCGCGAGGGGGAGCCAAUCCCAGAAACCCGAUCGUAGUCCGGAUUGCAAGCUGCAACUCGCCUGCAUGAAGUCGGGAUCGCUAGUAAUCGCGGAUCAGAAUGUCGCGGUGAAUACGUUCCCGGGUCUUGUACACACCGCCCGUCACACAAUGGAAG
rnacentral:rRNA from 1 species